UCCUAAAGAGUAACGGAGGAGCACGAAGGUUGGCUAAUCCUGGUCGGACAUCAGGAGGUUAGUGCAAUGGCAUAAGCCAGCUUGACUGCGAGCGUGACGGCGCGAGCAGGUGCGAAAGCAGGUCAUAGUGAUCCGGUGGUUCUGAAUGGAAGGGCCAUCGCUCAACGGAUAAAAGGUACUCCGGGGAUAACAGGCUGAUACCGCCCAAGAGUUCAUAUCGACGGCGGUGUUUGGCACCUCGAUGUCGGCUCAUCACAUCCUGGGGCUGAAGUAGGUCCCAAGGGUAUGGCUGUUCGCCAUUUAAAGUGGUACGCGAGCUGGGUUUAGAACGUCGUGAGACAGUUCGGUCCCUAUCUGCCGUGGGCGCUGGAGAACUGAGGGGGGCUGCUCCUAGUACGAGAGGACCGGAGUGGACGCAUCACUGGUGUUCGGGUUGUCAUGCCAAUGGCACUGCCCGGUAGCUAAAUGCGGAAGAGAUAAGUGCUGAAAGCAUCUAAGCACGAAACUUGCCCCGAGAUGAGUUCUCCCUGAGACUUAGAGUCUCCUGAAGGAACGUUGAAGACGACGACGUUGAUAGGCCGGGUGUGUAAGCGCAGCGAUGCGUUGAGCUAACCGGUACUAAUGAACCGUGAGGCUUAACCUUACAAC
rnacentral:rRNA from 1 species